rnacentral:rRNA from 1 species
UACGUAGGGGGCAAGCGUUGUCCGGAUUUAUUGGGCGUAAAGAGCGUGUAGGCGGCCAAACAGGUCAGCUGUGAAAACCCGAGGCUCAACCUCGAGACGUCGGUUGAAACCGUUUGGCUAGAGUCCGGAAGAGGAGAGUGGAAUUCCCGGUGUAGCGGUGGAAUGCGUAGAGAUCCGGAAGAACACCAGUGGCGAAGGCGGCCCGCUGGGCAGUGGCUGACGCUGAGGCGCGGCAGCGUGGGGAGCAAACAGG